CUGCAGCGUGAUCAUUGAAAGCAUGGCUUCUGUUGGCUCGACCUCUUUGCAUGAGGAAAUUGAUAGAUGCCAGCCAGCCUCAAACAAAUGAUUGCAUCUUCAGGACAAGAAAGUAUACUUGAGUGGGGAACUCGCGCCAAGUAGUUAUUUAGUCUGGAAAUGGCCAGGUUUAUCUUGAGGCUGUCGGUCAAGUUGAAAUUCGUUUCCCUCAUACAGAAGAUCAGUUAUCCCAUAUUCCCUCAUAAGGUAAGGACGUGAUGCCGCAAUCCUCAGCAAUAGCAGUGGUGAGACCGUUGUCCUUCUCACCUGUUGAGUUCGUCAGCUCAAUAGAAGGGGAAGAGCCGGGCUGAAGCGUUUGAUUAUUUCAGGUCGAUAACGGGAUUUAUUUUGAAAGUGGGG
rnacentral:sRNA from 2 species